rnacentral:rRNA from 1 species
UACGAAGGGGGCAAGCGUUACUCGGAAUUACUGGGCGUAAAGCGUGCGUAGGUGGUGAGUUAAGUCUGAUGUGAAAUCCCCGGGCUCAACCUGGGAAUGGCAUUGGAUACUGGCUCGCUAGAGUGCGGUAGAGGGUGGUGGAAUUCCCGGUGUAGCAGUGAAAUGCGUAGAGAUCGGGAGGAACAUCUGUGGCGAAGGCGGCCACCUGGACCAACACUGACACUGAGGCACGAAAGCGUGGGGAGCAAACAGG